UGUAUCUAUAAGGAUUUGGUAAUUUGAUAAAUAAAAUUUCCUAAUAAGCCGUCAGUCUAGGGAAAACCAUCCGGAAAGUGAGCUGAGACUAGUUCUGAAAAUCAUCAUGGAAGAAAAGAAGAAGACAUUUUAUGUAUCUCUGUCUGUCUUACAAGAUCGCGAACUUUGUUGUCUUCCAUGGUGAUUUUUCACGAUUAGACACGACUCAAUCUUUGAGCGGUUUUCCCUAAUCUAACAUAACAAUUCGGCCUUUCAGAAGUUAGUUUUAUUUCAUAUAUCUUAAGUUUUUGAAUGGAUUUUGUCUGAAAGAUGUAUUUACUCUAAGGAAAAGUGAGGUCAAUAGGUAUGCCUUACUUCAAAACAUAGUAGGAUUAGAACACGUUCAGGGUAAUGUCAUAUUACAUGAUAAUUCGUGUUUUAUGAAAUGUACAUUUCUUAUUGAAUUUGAAUAAGACGUAUAAGCGUUUAAAGCAUAUAUCAUCAUGGAAAAUGAAAGAGCUGCAUAUCA